rnacentral:rRNA from 1 species
UGAGGAAUAUUGGUCAAUGGGCGGGAGCCUGAACCAGCCAAGUCGCGUGAGGGAAGACGGUCCUAUGGAUUGUAAACCUCUUUAGGCGGGGAGCAAUGCCGGGCACGCGUGUCCGGAGGGAGAGUACCCGCAGAAUAAGCAUCGGCUAACUCCGUGCC